CCCGGGUGCGGGCAGUCGGGGGGAGGGGGACUGCGGGGGAGUGGCUGUAUGCCCCCGGAUGGGAGGAGUUUUGGAGACUCAGUGUUUAUUUUUUUUUAAGUGAAAACUUUUUUUUAAUUUGCAUUCAAGCUUGGAACCUAGUCAUGACAUCCUGGGCCGCAGAAAAAAAUCAGGGCUGAACUCAGGUUACACGCAUUCUUCCCUACGCCAGGCACAGGGGGCUCUGGAUGCCUGCUUCUCCUGUGGCAGUGUCCUGUAUGCGAGGAGGCCAUCGAAAUCACUCUAAAGCAAUGAAAAUUUGCUUUUAAAUGCAUUCAAUCUGCUAUUUUAAAAAACAGCUUUAUUGGGAUGUGAUUCGCAUACCAUACAGACCGUCCAUUUAAGCAAUUCAGUAUUUUUAAGUGUAUUCACAGGGUUGUGCAACAUCACUCUGAUUUUAAAGCUAGUAGCCCAUGCUAGAGAAAUCUAGCUUUUUUCAUGAUUUCUUCUGUAAUGUUAGCGCAACAGAUGUAUAAAUAGGACUGAGCAAGAAAAAAUUUCCUGAGCAGCGAGAUAAUGUCUUCCUCCAGCCAGGACAUGCCCUGGAGAAUUCUGAGCAGGGAUCGCUAUCACCCAUCACCUGGUGUGGUCCGGGCAGGCCAGAAGGGAGGCUGCGCACUCCAGAUUCCACCCCACUGCUCCGGACCCCACUUUCCUCCGAAGGGAUCUGCGUCAGUAGACCCAUGAUCGCCUCUGGGACUUCUCCCCAGCCCCAAAUGUCAAGACCAUUUAAGCACAAACUUGUAGCUUCUGGAGUUAGGGAGAUCUCUGCUUUUGGAGCGAUUCCCAGUUUAAGGCACUGGAGACGGGAUGCUUGUCACAAAAAGAUCAUGAUCUUCAGUGUCCGUGUAGGUCACUGUCUCAAAAUGCUACUCCUACAACGACUUGCACUCCAUCCACGCCAGUGGACCUUCCCGUCCGCUCCACCUUAGCCACCAGGUCCUGUGUCCACACGGUCAUAUUCAGAAAUACGCCAGUUGGGAAAUCAGGGUCUGUUAUACUAUUCUUUUAAUAACCACUUGGUUCUCUGGUUUUAUCACUCACGCCUCAUAUAGCAUUGUCUCCCUCUUUUCUAUCAACCUGUCACUCCCUUGUUCUCACUUCUUUCCCAAUUCAGUUUAGAAAUCAUAACUCACUCCUUCAACCUCAUAAUCAUCCCUGCCUUCAAUUCCAUUCCCCAUGUAUUUCACUGAACAAGAUCUAUAUAACUGCACUAGUCCAGUCACCAGUUUACCAUCAUCCCAGAGAUGUACGUACGUGAUUACAAGAAGGCAUGCUUUGUACAACUCUAAAUAAACGUCCUCUUACCAAGUGA